CAAUAGCGUAUAUUAAAGUUGUUGCAGUUAAAAAGCUCGUAGUUGGAUUUGUGGUGUACGCCGGCGGCCCGUCGCAAGACGGAGCUUGCUUGCGUCGCCAUCCUUGGGUGGAUCCUGUGUGGCAUUCAGUUGUCGUGCAGGGGAUGCCCAUCGUUUACUGUGAAAAAAUUAGAGUGUUCAAAGCAGGCUUAUGCCGUUGAAUAUAUUAGCAUGGAAUAAUAAGAUAGGACCUUGGUACUAUUUUGUUGGUUUGCGCACCAAGGUAAUGAUUAAUAGGGACAGUUGGGGGUAUUCGUAUUCCAUUGUCAGAGGUGAAAUUCUUGGAUUUUUGGAAGACGAACUACUGCGAANGNAUUUACNAAGGAUGUUUNCAUUA
rnacentral:rRNA from 1 species